rnacentral:rRNA from 1 species
GUGCCUAACACAUGCAAGUCGGAACGAUCUUCUUUUGUAGCAAUAUAGAAGAAGGUGAGUGGCGCACGGGUGAGUAAUACAUAGAUGAUCUGCCUUUCAGACUGGGACAACUCAGGGAAACUUUGAGCUAAUACCAGAUAAGACCACAUGAAGGGAUUUCACGUGACCAAAGGGUGAGCAAUCUCCUGCUGGAAGAUGAGUCUAUGUCCUAUCAGUUAGUUGGUGGGGUAAAGGCCUACCAAGACGAAGACGGGUAGCCGGCCUGAGAGGGUGAACGGCCACACUGGAACUGAGACACGGUCCAGACUCCUACGGGAGGCAGCAGUGAGGAAUUUUCCGCAAUGGGCGAAAGCCUGACGGAGCGACGCCCGCGUGAGGGAUGAAGGUUUUCGGAUCGUAAACCUCUUUUUAUCAAGGAAAAAGGCUUUAAUGCGAAUAACAUUAAAGUUUGAUUGUACUUAAUGAAUAAGCCCCGGCUAACUACGUGCCAGCCGCUGC